GUCUAGCCCUGAUGGCAGCUACAUCUUUUUUCUUAUUCCUUUAGCAAGAAAAAGAUAUCAGUCCCGAUAGCUGUCGGGACAAGAA
rnacentral:sRNA from 1 species